rnacentral:rRNA from 1 species
AGUGAACGCUGGCGGUAGGCCUAACACAUGCAAGUCGAACGGCAGCACAGUAAGAGCUUGCUCUUACGGGUGGCGAGUGGCGGACGGGUGAGGAAUACAUCGGAAUCUACUUUUUCGUGGGGGAUAACGUAGGGAAACUUACGCUAAUACCGCAUACGACCUACGGGUGAAAGCAGGGGAUCUUCGGACCUUGCGCGAUUGAAUGAGCCGAUGUCGGAUUAGCUAGUUGGCGGGGUAAAGGCCCACCAAGGCGACGAUCCGUGGCUGGUCUGAGGGGAUGAUCAGCCACACUGGAACUGAGACACGGUCCAGACUCCUACGGGAGGCAGCAGUGGGGAAUAUUGGACAAUGGGCGCAAGCCUGAUCCAGCCAUACCGCGUGGGUGAAGAAGGCCUUCGGGUUGUAAAGCCCUUUUGUUGGGAAAGAAAAGCAGCAGGUUAAUACCCCGCUGUUCUGACGGUACCCAAAGAAUAAGCACCGGCUAACUUCGUG